AUUCAAAUAUCUUAUAGUAGAGUAUAACAUUGAAGCUGUUAUUGAGAUAAAGUUUAUCUUUGAAUA
rnacentral:tRNA from 1 species